UACAGAGGGGGCAAGCGUUGUUCGGAAUUACUGGGCGUAAAGGGCGCGUAGGCGGCCUUCUAAGUCGAACGUGAAAUCCCCGGGCUCAACCCGGGAACUGCGUCCGAUACUGGCAGGCUUGAAUCCGGGAGAGGGAUGUGGAAUUCCAGGUGUAGCGGUGAAAUGCGUAGAUAUCUGGAGGAACACCGGUGGCGAAGGCGGCAUCCUGGACCGGCAUUGACGCUGAGGCGCGAAAGCCAGGGGAGCAAACGGG
rnacentral:rRNA from 1 species